rnacentral:misc_RNA from 1 species
UACAGAGGGUGCGAACGUUGCUCGGAAUCACUGGGCGUAAAGCGCGUGUAGGCGGGCGGCCAAGUCAGGUGUGAAAUCCCUGGGCUCAACCCAGGAACUGCAUCUGAAACUGGUUGCCUCGAGUGUCGGAGAGGGAAGCGGAAUUCCUGGUGUAGAGGUGAAAUUCGUAGAUAUCAGGAGGAACACCGGUGGCGAAGGCGGCUUCCUGGACGACUACUGACGCUGAGACGCGAAAGCGUGGGGAGCAAACAGG